rnacentral:tRNA from 1 species
GUGGGUGUAGCUCAGUUGGUUAGAGCACCAGAUUGUGGUUCUGGGGGUCGCCGGUUCAAAUCCGGUCACUCACCCCA